rnacentral:rRNA from 1 species
CCGUAGCCCAAGAGAUCGGGAUAACACCUGGAAACAGAUGCUAAUACCGGAUAACAACAGAUGAUGCCUAUCAACUGUUUAAAAGAUGGUUCUGCUAUCACUCUUGGAUGGACCUGCGGUGCAUUAGCUAGUUGGUAGGGUAACGGCCUACCAAGGCGAUGAUGCAUAGCCGAGUUGAGAGACUGAUCGGCCACAUUGGGACUGAGACACGGCCCAAACUCCUACGGAGGCAGCAGC